UACGUAGGUGGCAAGCGUUGUCCGGAUUUAUUGGGUUUAAAGGGUGCGUAGGCGGUCCAUUAAGUCAGUUGUGAAAUACGGCAGCUUAACUGUCGAGGUGCAAUUGAUACUGGAGGACUUGAGUACAGACGAGGUAGGCGGAAUUGACGGUGUAGCGGUGAAAUGCAUAGAUAUCGUCAGGAACACCGAUAGCGAAGGCAGCUUACUAGACUGCAUCUGACGCUCAGACGCGAAAGCUAGGGGAGCAAACGGG
rnacentral:rRNA from 1 species